ensembl:piRNA 21ur-11946 ncRNA
UUUAUCCAGAGUCGGUAUAAC